AAUCAAAUGGAGAUAUUUCUUGGUGAAUCUAAUUUUUUAAUAAUACAUUAUGAUAUAUAAUAAUAUUUGUACAAGUAAUAUAUUCAUAAUAUAAUGUAUUAUAAUUUCAUGAUGAUAUAUUCAAGGCUACAAAAAUAUUCUUUCUCAAUUGGAUUUACAAAUACAUAAGAGCAGUUAUUUGCCCUUGACUCAUGUAAGCCACAAUCUACUUAUUUAUAUUUUUAAUUUGUAUGGAAGCUCAUUUUUCUGAAUGAAUAUCUGAAGGCAAACAUGAAUAGAACUUUCUCAAAUAUUCAGAAGUUCUAGAAGUUAAUGGUAUUUUAUUGGGCCACCAGUAUUCCGGGGAAAAAAGUGACCUUUUUGCUAGAAUGAUUCAGAUCAUUGCCUUAAUUUGCUCUAUAAUUUUUAAUGUAUUGAUUCAUCAUUAGGAUUUAAGUGGGGCAGACAGGAUACAUGUGUUCUAAUAGGACAGGUAAUUAGCUGACUUUAUUGGGGUGAUUUAACCUGUAUUACAUACCUGCUCAAUAAAAUAUAUGCACAUGAUUGCAUUUUUGAGGGUACAUUACCAAUAAAAACACCAUGAAAUUGAAGAAAAAUCAGUUCAUAGAAUCGUUAAAAACAUUCAAACAUGUUAUUUUAGAACAAUGACUUUCUUCUGUGUGUUUGUGUGUUUUCUCAACUAUAAAACUAACUUUUAAAAGACACACUGAGAUGCCUUCAUGUUCUUUCUGUAUGUGGUACUUCAGAAAGUACUCAGAACAGAAAAUAAUGACACAGUGCUUAUACAAAUUACCUUAUUAUUUCUGCAACUCAUUUCAAAGUAAAUUAAUUUUAAUAAUAAUAAUAAAGUUCUUUGACAAUUUAUACAUUUUAUUAUCUUUAUAAUUAAUGUGAAUUCUAAAUGAGUAACCAAAUUCUAACAAAUAGAAUACAUAUGGCUCAUCCUCUGUCUUCCAGUUUAUUUUGCACAGCAUCUUCUGGUUCAUAGAUUCCCUCUUUACCUUGCCUUUCAGCUGACUUCUAUCAAAUCCAUGGUAACAACUAUUCUCUUUUGAGUGACUAUAUUGUCAUAAUUACAAAUAUUUCAAGCAUGUAUUUAAAAAAUGUUCAUGAAUUCUUUUUUUUUUUUUUUUUUCCUGGCCUCACACACAGCAUGUAGAAGUUCCCAGGCCAGGAACUGAAUCUGAGCCACAGCAGUGACAGCACUGGAUCCUUAACCUGCUGAGCCACUGGGAAACUCCAUGAAUUCUUUUAUUUUUUAAAUUUUUUUUCUCUUUUGUCUUUUUGAGGGCCUCACCCGCGACAUAUGGAGGUUCCCAGGCUAGGGAUCUAAUGGGAGCUCUAGCUGCUGGCCUACACCACAGCUACAGCAACACCAAAUCCAAGCCAAAUCUGCAACCUACACCACAGCUCACGGCAAUGCCGGAUCCUUAACCCACUGAGCAAGGCCAGCGAUCAAACCCGAAACCUCAUGGUUCCUAGUCAGAUUUGAUUCCUCUGUGCCAUGACAGGAACUGCUGGAAACGCCAUGAAUUCUUGAGUUGAGUGUUCUAUGUAUGUCUCUUAACUCCAGCCUUGUGAUUAUAUAGGUUCAUAUAUCUCUGUGUACAAAUAUGUUUACACUGCCUAUUUAUAUUAUAUGUAAUAUACAUAGGUUAUAUUUAUAUCAGAUAUAAACAUAUUUUUAUACUAUAUAUAAACACUUGUAUAGGUUGAGGCAAUAACAUUAGAUAUAUGCACAUUCAGAAGUGUAACAUUGUCCUAGUGAGUUCAUACUCUAAUUAGAAAAUAUGCUUGAUUAUUAAUGAACAUUUUGCCCCAAAGUAUUUUGUCUGAUAUUAAUAUUUUUAUACCAUCCUUACUUGGUUAAUGAUUACUUACUAUAUUUAUACAAAAUUUUUAUGUUCAAUUUCUUUCUCUUUUAUUAUAAUGUUAGGUGUAAAUCUAUAGGUAUAUAUAUACAUUUACUCAGAUUUGGGUUAUACUGUUUAUAGAAACUGAAUGUUUUAAAGGGUAUAUCUAAUUUGUUUACAUUGUGAUACUGACAUUUUCGGCAUUCUGCUUAAUUUUAAAAUUUUACUAUGCUUCGUCCUUUAACAUCUUUUUUUCUGAUUUUUUGCUUUCUAUUGAGAGGACUUUUUAAUUGAUAUUUCUAUAACCUUAGAAUAUAUUAAUUAUAAUUAUACUAUUCUUGUUUUCCCUUGUAUAAUGUAUUUUAUCUAUUUUGCUGGAGUUUAUUAUCUCAAAAUUUCUUACCUCUAACUUUCAUUAUUAUCUUCUAUUUAUUCUGCAUUGUUUUAACCCCAAAUUAUUAUUAUCUUUAUUAUUUAUAGUUACUAUUGUUAUUUAUAAUUGAUGUUUUUAAAAAAUCUAACAACACACUAAUUUCCUUUCAUAGUCUUGUUUUUUUCCAACAUUUCAACUCUGUUUCCUUCUUUCUUAUUAGUCUAUCUUAACUUCAUAUUAUAGAAGCUAUUUCAGCAAGGGGGAUGUAUGUUAAAUCUGUCUGAAGUGACCUUUUUUUUUUUGGCCAUACCUGUGGCAUGCAGAAGUUCCCAAGCCCGGGAUCAAACCCGAGACACACAAGUGACCCAGGCUGCUGCAGUGACAAUGCUGGAUACUUAAACAGCUGUGCCACAAGGGCAUUCCUGAAUAUAUGACUCUUAAUAGUUUGUAUGUAUUCUUCCUGGGUGACAUUUAUUUUCUCUCAACUUGGUAAGAUAUUUUUCUAUUGCUUCUGAUGUCAAUAUUUUUAAUGUUAAGUCUUCUGUAAAUUAGCUGUUCCUCUGUCUGCAAUUUGUCUUUUUUUCCAUGCUGCUUUCAAUAUUUGCAUCUUGUCUUUGAGCUUCUUCAGUUUCAUCAUAAUUUACGAUGGUCUUGGUAUGCUUUCUCUACCUGAAGGACAGUGGCUCUCUUCAUUUCUGAAAGAUGCUCAGCCUUUAUUACUUCAAAGUUUGCCUUUUCUCUGGUUUUCUAAUUUCUUAUUCCAAAAUACCUGUAGAUUUAUUUUUGAGCCUUCUUGUUCUGUUCUCAAUGUCUCUUGUUCCCUUUUCCUUUUUUCUCAUUACCUCUAUGAUGCUAACAUUAUACUGGAGGAUAAAAAAUCUGGGGAAGGGGAGUUCCUGUUGUGGCUCAGGGGUUACAAACCCGACCAGUAUCCAUGAGGAUGUGGAUUUGAUCCCUGACCUCACUCAGUGGGUUAAUGAUCUGGUGUUGCUGUGAGUCGAGGACUUGGCUCAUAUCCUGUGUGGCUGUGCUGUGGCUGUGACCAGCAGCUGCAGCUCCAAUUUGACCCCUAUCCUGGGAACUCCCAUAUGCUGCAGGUGUGGCCCUAAAAAGAAAAUGGAAAAAAAAAAAAUCUAUGAAAGGAGGAGUGAAAAAAAAAAGUGAGCCUAGGAAGGAAUGGCAGCAAAUGCAAGAUAAGGUGUUACUGAGCUGUCCACAACUUUACAAAUAAAACAGCUAGUGCUCAGUCACACAUAAUCUCUCCAGAAAGCCUUUAUGGAGCAGUGCAUUUUGGAAGAAAGCAUUGGUAAAGGGAUAGAGAGAGAACAAUUUACUUGAUGUCUUCUUUCUGUCUUCUCUUUCUAACUGAUCAAAGUCUUCUUCCAGGGAAAGACGUUCCCUGUGCUUAGGCAGAGUUUCCACAGGUCCAUUCAUUCAGCCAAUGUGCUGAUGCAACAGGCUUUCCUUGUUCAUUGGUGUUGUGUGCAUGUUGUCUUUGGUCCAUGUGGUGAGCAUGACAUCUUUAGCAGGCAGCAGGGCUUUUUGACAUUAUAAGUCAUCAUUAGGGUUUUUCAUCCAGGAAUUGAGACAAGAAACUGAGGCCCAAGUAGCAGGGAGACCAGACUGAAUGUGGAUACACAUAAACUAAAUCUAUAAGAAUCAGAUGUUUACUUCAUGAGAGUCCCUUAUGUCCUAGAUUCUGCAAAUGUCCCCAAAGGAGGUUUUUGGAUGGGCUUCUGCUGUGGCCCAAGGGAUCCUAAACUAUUUUUUAUAUUAAUUUCUUGGCUUGGGACUAUAGCACCAUGACAGAAAUGAAAAUUCAGUUUCAACAUGUGUGUAUAGAAGAGGUUAUGGGCUUUUUUGAAAAAAAAAAAAAAAUUUACUUUUUUCCCUUCUUAGGCCCUAGUAAUAAAUAAACAUUUUCCUGUUUUUUUUUUAGUCCUUUUUUUUUUUUUUGGUUCUCUUUUUUUCGUAUUUAUUUCUUUUUAAAAAUUAAUUUUUUUUUUCUCUUUCUCUCUUUUUAGGGCCACGCCCGAGGCAUUUGAGGUUCCCAGGCUAGGGUUCCAGUCAGAGCCAUAGCCACCAGCCUACGCCAGGGCCACAGCAACGCGGGAUCUGAGCAACCUACACCACAGCUCAUGGCAAUGCCAGAUCCUUAACCUACUGAGUGAAGCCAGGGAUCGAACCUGUGUCCUCAUGAAUGCCAGUCAGGCUUGUUCACCACUGAGCCAUGACAGGAACUCCCUGGUUCUCUUUUCUCAGUUGAAACAACUUUUUGCAGCUUUAGUCUUUAUGUACAGAAAUAAGUUUUAGCUAUGAUUAUCUUCUGGCAUCCAGUUAUGGGUAUGAAAGUCUAAACAUGGUUUGAAAAUGUACAGUGACUGCAACAGUGUGAAUUUCUGUGUAUUACUCUGGCUUUAACAUUUUCUUCUUCAGUGUUGAUACCUAAGGAUUUACCUUUCCUACGUUUGAGAUUGCUUAUGCAAUUAAACAUUCUUGGAUAGGUUUUAUCUAUCAUUUCAGUGUGUUUGUAAAAGAGAGUUUGUAUCAGCCCAGCCCAUUAUAUUACUGUAUGCAUUUCAAUGUAUUUAUGAUAUGUUUUUGAAGUAUCAGUCACUACUUAUAAUAACCAUUUGGUAAAAAGAAGGAAAGACUAAUGAUAUGAAACUGCUUAAGAGAGACAAACUAAGAUAAUGGCUGUAGGGAAGUGAAUGUGGUUGGUCUAUUGAGCCUGGAUUAUAAAUGGAUAAUGUCAGAGCAUGAAGAUCUAGGUGUGUCCAGCAGAUAGAAGGGCCCAUUAAGAAUUUUCUUUAUGAUAAGAGUGAUGAGAUGGCAGUAAAUAGGGGGAGGAAAACAAUCUUAUUGUAUGUAACUCUGUCUUCAGUGUUAAGGGGUGGCCAGAGUAGAUAAAUGUCGGAAACCAGUUAGAAGACCAUUAAAUAGAUAAUAAUUGACCAAACAGGGAAUAAUCUACUGAAAAAAGGAAGUACAAUAACUAUUUGUUUUUGGCCACAUUCACAGCCAGUUGUAGCAACUGUAUAAUAGUGACUGAGCAUUAGUUGUCAUCUAUAUUAUAAUGACUACAUUUUCUACAUUACUACUGUAAUUACUCUGUUACUACUGCCCUCAUAAUGGACUUCCUGACUCCAACCUUCAUAGAUUGAAGACAAUCUGUGAUGCUGCAGCCAGAGCCAUUCUCUAAAAUGUGAAAUGGAUCAUAAGCACUCCUGGACUGUAAAUUUUCUGUGGCUUCCCAUUGGUCUCAGAAGUCCAAACUCUUGAGGUGUGCAAGGUGUGCAAAAGGGGUGUACAAGUCCUUGCAUCUGACCUUUAUUUUCCUCCUCAGAUUAAAUUUUAUUCAUUCACUUCAAACUCUGAGAUCCAGCCAGAGUGAAGGAUUUCAUUCCAUUGCCAAAACUCUGCCUCUGCCCCCCUGUGCUGAAUAGAAAUGGACAGAGUUUUGGGCG
rnacentral:lncRNA from 1 species